rnacentral:rRNA from 1 species
AUCACCUCACCGGCCGCCGCCACUCCCUCCCUCGGGAUCCUCCCGAUCCACCCGCUUGCCCAACCGGACGCCUCCACACACCGGUUCUCCCGCAGCUCUGUCCGAGCCGAUGCCCCAGGCACUCGAUCCGGAUGGGAUCGAGGCAGCCGCCGUCUUGCCUCCACUCCGACAGCACGCCGGCCGACCACCGUUGCGACCAGGCCAGUCCCGUCGCUCUGUGCCUUCCUUUUCUCCCGUGCUUCUCCCUCGUCUCACCUCUCCGUCUCUCUCAUCCCGUUCAAGCAGGAGCGCCGCCGCCCUCGACCCGUCUCCUUCCAGCCGGCAACGAGCAGUAGCUCGCCGGAGUUGAGCUCCACCGGGUCCCCCUCCCUCUGGCCGUUUCUGGCGCUCGCGUCACCGUCACCCACCCGUCGCCGGAGUUCCUCGCCGGCUCGCGCGCCAACCUGCAAGAACCAAGACGUCGGCCACCAGGGGCUCAAGACGCCGCUGUUCAGAUUUGCCUCGAGCCUCCUCUGCUUCACGCCUCCCCUCGCCGUAGUCCGUGGCCUCCGCCGCCCAAGAUCCGCCUGCCGGCCUCCGCAAGUCCCUCGCCGCAGCCGUCUCCCAACGCCACCAUCGAGCAGCAGCAGCUCGGGCAGAGGAGAUCGAUGCCUCUGCCUCGCUCGUGCGUUGACCUGCGGGUCAGCCCGUCCUCGAGCGCGGUUGCCAGCCGGUCGUCCUUGACCGCGUCGUGCCCAACGCGAGCAGGCCCAGUCCCCCGAUCUGCAAGCCAGUGCCGGCCUGCGAGACCUCUCCGACAGCCGGGCUGAGGCCCAAUGUGAGCUGCCUUUCAGCCCAGUUCCUUAAGUUUCAGCCCGAGUAGUUUUUUUCACUGUCUAGCGUUUUUGUCUUUAUCCAGGGAAUUACAAUUGUAAAGAAAACCCCUCAAUGUUCAUGCAUAUAAUAACUUUUUACCCAUGCAUCGGAAUUUAAAAAAUUAUAUAUGUAAAAUUCUUAGAGUUUCAUCUAGUUUAAUAAUUUCCAACUUUCAUUCAUGUUAAAAAUGUUUAAAUGUGAUGUUUGAAUUAAUUUGCAUAAAUGACUUGCUAAAAAUGAUUUAUUUCAUAACUAAAUAACCGUAGCUCCGAUUAAAUAAACUUUAUAUGUAAAUGGUCUAGAAAAAAUACAUAGAUUAACAUUGUGCACUUACUUUGCAUGUUUAACAACUUCAAAUUGUGUAUAGGGCAAAACAUUACCAAAUUCGAAAUAUGCAUAUGGGGAUUUUCUGAAAUUGUUAUUUGUUAUUUUUGGCCUCAUUUAAACUUGCAUAAAUAGUUAGUUUACUUAUGCUUCACCUCUUGCCAUGUUAACCAACAUUUAAUCUUGUCUUGUUCAUAAACGAGAGCGAACCAAAUAAAUGAAUGUGGUGUUUCGUCAAUAUGCAACUGCAUAUUGAGCUCCACUUAAUUUGUAGUAUUAUUUGUUGCACUUUGCCAUGUCGUGCCUCAUUAAAAUGGACAUGCAUCAUACUUGAUUGUGCAUCAUGUCAUGUUUAUGCUUGUGUGUUUAUCAUGUUGUUUGCUUCUUUUCGGUUGUGCUUCUUCUUGAUAGUUCCGGUUACGUUGCGAUUGUGAGGAUCCGUUUGACUAUGUGGACUCGUCUACUUCAUGGAUUCGGUCUUCUUCCGAGCGGGAUUUCAAGCAAGAUGAUCUUUACCCUGGAGAUCACUACUAUCUUUACCUUGCUAGUUGUCUCGAUGCUAUUGUUAUGUCGCGCUCCCUACCACUUGUUUAUCAAGCCUCCCAAAUUGCCAUGAUAUGCCUCCAACCUUUUCCAUCAUCCUAGCAAACCGUUGAUUGGCUAUAUUACCGCUUUGCUCAGCCUCUCUUAUAGCGUUGCUAGUUGCAGGUGCAGUGCAAGUUGUUCCAUAUUGGGACAUGUAAAGCAUGGGAUGUCACAAUAUCUCUUAUUUAAUUAAUGCAUCAAUACACUUGGUAAAGGGUGGAAGGCUCGGCCUUUUGCUUGGUGUUUUGUUCCAUUCUUGCCGCC